rnacentral:snRNA from 1 species
GGGUUUGCGUUGGCAGCACACACGUUAACAUUGGAAUGAUACAGAGAUUAGCAUGGCCUGCAUCCGAGGACGACACCCAAAUUCAUGAAAUGUUCUAUAUUUUU